rnacentral:rRNA from 1 species
UACAGAGAUCUCAAGCGUUGUUCGGAUUCAUUGGGCGUAAAGGGUGCGUAGGUGGCGGGGUAAGUCAGGUGUGAAAUUUCGGAGCUUAACUCCGAAACUGCAUUUGAUACUGCCUUGCUUGAGGACUGGAGAGGAGACUGGAAUUCACGGUGUAGCAGUGAAAUGCGUAGAGAUCAUGAGGAAGACCAGUGGCGAAGGCGGGUCUCUGGACAGUUCCUGACACUGAGACACGAAGGCCAGGGGAGCAAACGGG